GUUUCUGUGACACCUCUGCUUCAUAGCAGGGCUCUCACACACCCCUUGCCAGCAGCAGGAGGAAGGACACCCGGCCGGCAUCCUCCGCUUCUCAGCCCAAAACUCGAGCAAACGUGCCACUUCUGGAAAAACAACCUUGCGUCCAACUUUUGUCAAAACAGCUUCUCCCUCCGCCCCCGGGCCCCCAGCUCACAAAACUACCCGUGCCCCGCUCCUCUCCUCGCACCCGGCGGUCCCAGAGCCCCUUCAGCAGGGCUCUUCCUCUACCUGGGAUGUCUCUCAGCAACACCAAAAGCCCAGAAAGCAGAGGCGUAUGGGUGCAGUCUCAUGCACGGGGGG